rnacentral:rRNA from 1 species
UGGGGAAUUUUCCGCAAUGGGCGAAAGCCUGACGGAGCAAUACCGCGUGAGGGAAGAAGGCUCUUGGGUUGUAAACCUCUUCUCUUGGGGAAGAAAAAAAUGACGGUACCC